rnacentral:snoRNA from 1 species
AUUGAUCAACUCUUCCUUUCACAAAAGAUUUCUCUGUUGGCGCCCAGAGGUACCAGGGGCCUCAGCACACCGCCCACUGUCUCAUGUGUGAGGGUGAAACCCAGGCCCCAACAGUC